GUAUACUCGCCACAGUCAACCACCUGGGUUCUCAGGAUUUCAAGGCUGGAGAUAUACUUUGAAGAUCGAAUAGAACACUUGUCACUCUCAUAAAUUUCUCGGCCAGCUUUAAACCACUGGAACCGGACGUUGGGAGCACUUUGGAUCUCACAGCGUAUAAGCAUUAGAACACAGGACUCAAGUGUCUGCUGGCUGUAAAAAUACUGGAGAAACUCAUCUAUAGCAUGCAGAAUACAUAUUCAGUCAUUGUGUACAAUGCAGCUGUACAGUCCUUGGUCUACUAGCUGAACAUUACAUAUGACUCAGGUUGGCUGUGCUUGACACUUGGCCUACAGCAUUACUAGCAACAAACGUCUUCUUCCUUUGGUGAACUUAAUGAGGCACCAGGAUACACAUGAACUGCCACUGGACAUGAACUGUACACAAUAAAAACCCGGCAUUGAAAACGGGCUGGCUGCCCUUCAGAAGUGACAGUGUCCUGAAGCGGGGUGAUGAUGGCAGGUGGAUAAACAGGCAUUUCCUGAUC
rnacentral:antisense_RNA from 1 species